rnacentral:rRNA from 1 species
GCCCGUCGCUACUACCGAUUGAAUGGCUCAGUGAGGCCUUCGGACUGGCUCAGGGAGGUCGGCAACGACCACCCAGAGCCGGAAAGUUGGUCAAACUCGGUCAUUUAGAGGAAGUAAAAGUCGUAACAAGGUCUCCGUAGGUGAACCUGCGGAGGGAUCAUUA